rnacentral:rRNA from 1 species
GAGUUUGAUCCUGGCUCAGAUUGAACGCUGGCGGCAUGCCUUACACAUGCAAGUCGAACGGCAGCACGGGAGCUUGCUCCUGGUGGCGAGUGGCGAACGGGUGAGUAAUGCAUCGGAACGUAUCCUGGAGUGGGGGAUAACGUAGCGAAAGUUACGCUAAUACCGCAUAUUCUGUGAGCAGGAAAGCGGGGGGACCUUCGGGCCUCGCGCUCUUGGAGCGGCCGAUGUCGGAUUAGCUAGUUGGUGAGGUAAAGGCUCACCAAGGCGACGAUCCGUAGCAGGUCUGAGAGGAUGAUCUGCCACACUGGAACUGAGACACGGUCCAGACUCCUACGGGAGGCAGCAGUGGGGAAUUUUGGACAAUGGGGGCAACCCUGAUCCAGCCAUGCCGCGUGAGU